rnacentral:rRNA from 1 species
CCCCGGCGCCACAAGUGGUUAUCACGAUUAUUGGGCCUAAAGCGUUCGUAGCCGGUUUGGUAAAUCUCUUGUGAAAUUGUUCGGCUUAACCGGACAGCGUGCAGGAGACACUACCAAGCUCGAGACCGGGAGGGGUUAGAAGUAUUCCAUGGGGACUGGUAAAAUGGGAUAAUCCAUGGAAGACUACCGAUGGCGAAGGCAUCUAACCAGAACGGAUCUGACGGUGAGGAACGAAAGCCAGGGGAGCGAACCGG